UACGGGGGGGGCAAGCGUUGUUCGGAAUUACUGGGCGUAAAGGGCUCGUAGGCGGCCAACUAAGUCGGAUGUGAAAUCCCCAGGCUUAACCUGGGAACUGCAUCCGAUACUGGAUGGCUUGAAUUCGGGAGAGGGAUGCAGAAUUCCAGGUGUAGCGGUGAAAUGCGUAGAUAUCUGGAGGGAUACCGGUGGCGAAGGCGGCAUCCUGGACCGACAUUGACGCUGAUGAGCGAAAGCUAGGGGAGCAAACGGG
rnacentral:rRNA from 1 species